UAAUACGGAGGGUGCAAGCGUUAUCCGGAUUUACUGGGUUUAAAGGGUGCGUAGGUGGGUAAGUAAGUCAGUGGUGAAAUCUCCGGGCUUAACCCGGAAACUGCCAUUGAUACUAUUUAUCUUGAAUACUUUGGAGGUAAGCGGAAUAUGUCAUGUAGCGGUGAAAUGCUUAGAUAUGACAUAGAACACCAAUUGCGAAGGCAGCUUACUACACAGUGAUUGACACUGAGGCACGAAAGCGUGGGGAUCAAACAGGAUUAGAUACCCUGGUAGUCCACGCCCUAAACGAUGGAUACUCGACAUUAGCGAUACACAGAUAGUGUCUGAGCGAAAGCAUUAAGUAUCCCACCUGGGAAGUACGAUCGCAAGAUUG
rnacentral:rRNA from 1 species